rnacentral:rRNA from 1 species
GAUGAACGCUGGCGGCGUGCCUAAUACAUGCAAGUCGAGCGAACAGACGCGGAGUUUGCUCCUCUCACGUUUGCGGCGGACGGGUGUGUAACACGUGGAUACCCCACUUAUAUUACUGGUAAAACUUCGGAACACGGGCGAAUAUAGCGGAUAAUAUAUUGAUGCGUGGGGUGGGAUAGUGAAUUACGGCUUUGCGGUCUCUAAUCGAUGGUUCUGCGCCGCAUUAUGGAGUGGGUGAGGUCACGGGUUUUCAAGGGAACGAGGCGUAGGCGACCUGAGCGGUGGGUCAGCCCCACUGGAACUGAGACACGGUCCAGACGCCUACGGGAGGCACCAGUAGGCAAUCGGCCGCAAUGGGCGGAAGCCUGACGGAGCAACGCCGCGUGAGUGAUGAAGGUCUUCGGAUCGGAAAACUCUGUUAUUAGGGAAGAACAAAUGUGUAAGUAACUAUGCACGUCUUGACGGUACCUAAUUAGAAAGCCACGGCUAACUACGUG